rnacentral:lncRNA from 1 species
UUUGCAUCUUGUAUGUGGUUGGGAAUACAUUCUCAAAUCUAUUUGUGGGCCCAAUAAGCCAUGUGACCAUGGCAAGUUUCCUCAUGGCUCUGUAUGUCAAUGUACUCAUCUGUGAGCUAGAGGCAGGGGUACCAGAUGGUCUUUCAACUCCCUUUGACUCUACACAUACAUUUCCAUCUACAAACUAAGUCUGAAUUCCUUUAGAAAAGGUGUCAAGAGAUUUGUGCCUGGCCAAGACCUUGGAGGAUGAUGGUGUUGCACUUCGUCUAGUUAUUCAGGCCUGCCAGACCAACUCCAGUUCCACUCACAGUGCUCCACAUGCAUCGCUGCAGCCCUGGGCACUCUCCUGCCAAUCCCGAUGCAACUCUGGCAAGUCCAAAUCACUGCUCAACUCAGAGAAGGAGAAGCUGCAAGAAAGCUCUGCUUUCCCCUGCAUCUUGGGGCAGCCCUGUUUGCCUCACAGACAGAGAAGAACCGAGCCCUAUAUGAUAUUUUCACCUAAUACGAAGCUGAACUUUGACUCUAUUUCACUGAAAAGUGUUUCAGUGUUUUCUCGUCAGUUUCUGAACUGUGUGACCGUCAUCCUGCAUGGACCCUCAUAUUCCAGCUUCCUGUUUCCUCCCUCCUGCGUCUCCAUCCCCAGCUCCCAGUAGCAGGAAGCAUUCACCACAUUUUCACUUCUUGUUCUUUUCCU